CCUACGGGGGGCAGCAGUGGGGAAUAUUGCACAAUGGGCGCAAGCCUGAUGCAGCCAUGCCGCGUGUGUGAAGAAGGCCUUCGGGUUGUAAAGCACUUUCAGCGGGGAGGAAGGCGGUGAGGUUAAUAACCUCAUCGAUUGACGUUACCCGCAGAAGAAGCACCGGCUAACUCCGUGCCAGCAGCCGCGGUAAUACGGAGGGUGCAAGCGUUAAUCGGAAUUACUGGGCGUAAAGCGCACGCAGGCGGUCUGUCAAGUCGGAUGUGAAAUCCCCGGGCUCAACCUGGGAACUGCAUUCGAAACUGGCAGGCUAGAGUCUUGGAGAGGGGGGUAGAAUUCCAGGUGUAGCGGGGAAAUGCGUAGAGAUCUGGAGGAAUACCGGUGGCGAAGGCGGCCCCCUGGACAAAGACUGACGCUCAGGUGCGAAAGCGUGGGGAGCAAACAGGAUUAGAUACCCUUGUAGUC
rnacentral:rRNA from 1 species